CGUAAUCGGCUGCUAAACGCGGGCAAUGGCGUGAGUUUGAGGCGGGGCGCGGAGUGUUUGAGAAACAUGUUUGAAAACAGUCGUAAUUGUUUGACGCUAGUGAAGAGAAAUCGCGCUCUUCAUUUUCAAGAAGGUCUCUGGUAAAGAAGGGGUUUCUGGGGAACAGACUCUUCACAAAGAUAAGCCACCCCACCACUGGAACCAUCACUCUUUCACUGAAAUAAAGUUGUACAGGAAUGGCAUGAGGAUGAGAGUAUUCCACCACAAUCUACAGCAAACAUGCAUUCGGAUCUGGCUGUCUACAUCACAAAAUUACAUCACACGGACUAUUUGCGAGCUGAAGAAGAAUGCGGACAAGGGAAGUAUACUUUGGUCUUAACUCAAAUUAAAUAAAGAACACAUUUAACAAGUAGUUGGACAACCCCAUGGUUUAAUAUUUUUACACAGCCUGCUGAGGAGGCGUGCCUCGAAAGAGACAUGGAAACAGAUUGUAACUUGGCAAGUGCAAACAACAACAACAGCAGCAGCAGGCAUCACUGUAGCCCGGGGCCUCAUCUGUCCGACUGAAUACUGUUGCUUUUUUUUUUUUUUCAUUCUUCCGCUCUCUCCCAUUUCUUCUCCUCUGCCACCUCAACUUUCAGCCCUUCAUGUCACGGAGCUCCGCCUGACUGACGUCUCUCCUCAGGAUGGCUGACACCAAACAGGAGCUGGAUUCACUUCCUGAGGCAGUCAAGAGGAACUUGGCUCAACCCUGCUGCGGCACAUCUCUAGUUAUAUUACAACUGGAGUUUAGAUAAAGGCUUUGUGAAAGAUUUCACAAAGAAUACUCUGCGAACAAGCAUUUACUCAAACUUUUCACUACAGAAUGCAGCCAUUAUUAACCAUCGGCAUCUGGGGGGGAAAAGA